GGAAGUAAAAGUCGUACAAGGUUUCCGUAGGUGAACCUGCGGAAGGAUCAUUCAUAAUAAAGUGUUUUAUUGCACUUUUUAAAAAUCCAUAUCCACCUUGUGUGCAAUGUUAGAUCACGUCAAUCUUGGCGAGAUUUUUAUACAUCAACUCAUUUUUUAACUAAUUUGUCUGAAAAAUAUUAUGAAUACUUAAUUCAAAAUACAACUUUCAACAACGGAUCUCUUGGCUCUC
rnacentral:misc_RNA from 1 species